rnacentral:lncRNA from 1 species
UCAAACCCCUAAAGGCCCUUUUAAGGGCCCCCAGAACGUCAGGAAAAGAGCCAACACUUCGUAUUUGCUGUGUGAAUGUGGGACCUAGGUGCAGAUAGGAGGUGACCAAGUUCAGACGCCGAAUGAAGGAGGCAAAGCGUGGGCGAAGUCGAAGGCGGGGCCUAGCUCGCGGCCGCUGCCCUACCUGGGACGAGCUGCACAGUUUGCUGCACCGAGCGGAUUCAGUCCUAUCAAAAUGGAAGCCAGCCACUCAGUCCAGCACAGCAAGAUCUUUGGAUCCCAAAAAAGCAGUGGGUGGAUCUCCAGAAACUGACUUUGACAAGGGCUCCUGUAUUCAAAUAUGCUGGAAGCUCAUCCACCCGUGA